CAUAUUUGAUGUUAUAUAUUCAACUCAUACCAUACAUGAAUUUGCAACGCCAUGUACUUGUUGAUGGCAAGGUCAGGACUGACAAGACCUACCCUGUUGGGUUCAUGGAUGUCAUUUCCAUCCCUAAGACAAAUAAGAACUACAGGCUGCUUCCGUCUUCACCCAAUCAGGGAUGAGGAUGCCAAGUUCAAGCUCUGCAACGGGAGGUCUGUUCAGUUUGACGUCGACAACGUGGUCAUGGUGACUGGCGGGAGGAACACCGGGCGUGUAGGAGUGAUCAAGAACUGGGAGAAGCACAAGGGCAUCUUCGAGGUCAUCGACGUGCUGCUUGGAGUUUUUUGCAUGCUAUGUCUAGUUUUCUCCUAUUUGUUGUACAGGAAAACAUAGAAUGGAAUUCAAAUUUGGUGGUCGCAAAAGUGUG